rnacentral:lncRNA from 1 species
UGUUGUCUUUUAUUUGCUGUUUCUGCACCACCCAGGAUCCUUGGAUGUGGUGUUGACGCCAGACAAGGGUACAGGAGCUGGGGGAUCGAUAGCAAACACUUCUUUAGGUGUAUUGAUUACCCAGAAAGGGAUGAGGAUAAAUUUUUGUGUGUUCCCACUAUGUCUCUGAGCCUGUUAAAAGGAAAGAAAUGGCCUGGUUUGCUUCUCUAUUUCUCUCUUCUUAGAAGCUGAAAAAACCCCCAAAACAACAUGGCAAGAGGUUGGGGAUGAUGGGUCUUCUUUUAUUUUUUUAGACAGUGGGGAAAUCUAAUAUAUUUCUCUUUUGACCUUCUGUCCUCUUUUUGCAUCUUGGGAGCAGAGAAAACAAGGAUGACAGCUAAAAAAGACAGAAUGCCAAAACAGGAAAAAAACCACAACCCUGAAAAGACAACUCCUGACAUGCUUCUAUUAAUCUAAUGAGAAUUUGGUUUAGUAUUGAAUUAGUGAAAAAAGGAAUCUGAUUACUUUUCAUUGGUAUGGGAAAUGGAAGCUGUGUUCCAAGGGGGGAGAUUUGACCUUACACUGCAAGCACUCCAGACCUUGCCUUGGCACAACUUUUCCCACUCAAAAUUCCAGGUGUGCUCAGCAUAUUCUGGAAUUAGAAGAGUUCCUUCUGGGCAGCGAGGCCACCUCUCGAGGACACCCAUCCCUGUUUAUCUCCUGAGCUCCUGCAGAAGCUGGAAUUGUCUCCAUCAGCAGCAGGCACCUCUCGGGGUCUGGAGAAGCUCGGUCUGAGGAAUGACCUCCAUCCAGGACAGGUAAGGAGUUUCUGCCCUGCCUUGCUGACCUUGCCCCCACAGCUCUGAGAACCAAGCACAGUUCAUGUCACAUUUCUGGUAAACCACCCUUUCAUUUCCCAGGGGGCACAAAAAGCAGAUAUUUAAAAGCGAGUGUGUGUCUGAUCUAGAGAUACACAAGGCAGAUAUUCAGGAGUGAAGAUACGUUUGUCAUACAUGUUUGUGUGAUACACAGGGGCUGUGUUUGUCCUUUCAACUCCAUAAAAGUCUACAGGAAGGGUUUGUGCUCCAGCACACUGUUUGUGUCCAGAACACUGAAAAAGGUAAUCAAAGGUACUUUUCUGCACCAGUUUGCAGACUGAGACCCUAAAGGACUCACCCCGUGUCUGAGGUUUCAAAAGCACAGCGCUGCUCAGCAGACAGGAGCUCAGGGGUCAAUAGCAGGCCGCAGGCAGCGCCCG